UAGUCAUAUGCUUGUCUCAAAGAUUAAGCCAUGCAUGUCUAAGUAUAAACACUUGUACUGUGAAACUGCGAAUGGCUCAUUAAAUCAGUUAUAGUUUAUUUGAUAGUCUCUUACUACAUGGAUAACCGUGGUAAUUCUAGAGCUAAUACAUGCAUAAAAGCCCGACUUCUGGAAGGGCUGUAUUUAUUAGAUAAAAAACCAAUGCGGGCAACCGCUUUCUUGGUGAUUCAUAAUAACUUUUCGAAUCGUUUAGGCCUUGUGUCGACGAUGUUUCAUU
rnacentral:rRNA from 1 species